UACCAGAAAUUUAUCUCUGCUGAUACAUUCUCUUCUUAUUUGGUUUCAGGUGGAAUUCAUGGUGGAUUCUUUUGGUGGGGAUUUUCCUGCUUUGAAAGGAAAUUAUAGGACGUUUUCAAUGUGGAACAGGGCUGAGGCUCUGACUGCUGCCCUAAGAAAAAAGUGAACGACAACACAGUACAGUGUGAUAAUUACCCAUAAGAGCCCAGGAAGCUGAUCAAAAUGAAAAUAAAUGGAACAAAUACCGACGUAAUUUUCUGUUUUGGGCUGACAUUUGGGGAAGGCUGUAAGGUUGGGAAAACCAAGAAGACUGCUGCACAGAAAAGGGAAUAUCACAUCCUCCUCAUGGUCAUCAGCCAAGUCAUCUGACUUCUCAUUUGGGGGACAGUCUACGGAGUGCUGGCUUACUUGCUACAUAUGGGCUGCCUGGAAUGGUGUCACCAGUCAUAAGUACUAUACCAUUCAUUUUGACCAGGAGACCCUGUAUAUAACCCAAUUAUCUACAUAUUUAUAAGCGAA
rnacentral:lncRNA from 1 species